AAUCCGGUUGAUCCUGCCGGCGGGCACCGCUAUUGGAGUUCGCUUAAGCCAUGCGAGUCGAGAGGGGUAAGCCCUCGGCGCACUGCUCAGUAACACGCGGACAAUCUGCCCUCGAGACGGGGAUAACUCCGGGAAACUGGAGAUAAUACCCGAUAGGGCCUGGGAUGAUGGAAGGCUCCCAGGUUGAAAUCCUCCGGGGCUCGAGGAUGGGUCUGCGGCCUAUCAGGUUGUAGGGGGUGUCACGGACCCCCUAGCCGAAGACGGGUACGGGCUUUGGGAGAAGUCGCCCGGAGAUGGAUUCUGAGACACGAAUCCAGGUCCUACGGGACGCAGCAGGCGCGAAACCUCCACAAUGUGGGCAACCACGAUGGGGGAACUCCAAGUGCUUACACUUUUGUGUAAGCUGUUCUCGAGCCUAAAAAGCUCGAGAAGUAAGGGCCGGGUAAGACGGGUGCCAGCCGCCGCGGUAAUACCCGCGGCCCGAGUGGUGCUCAUUAUUAUUGAGCCUAAAGCGUCCGUAGCUGGCCGGGCAAAUCUCCGGGUAAAU
rnacentral:rRNA from 1 species